UGUUCAUGCAGGAGCUUUACCCUGAAGCAACAAGUGCCUGUCUCUUCGUUUUCAAGCCUUUUUUGACAUCAGCUUUUCUUCUAAAGGAAGUUUUUUGGAUAUUCUUCUACUAACUUAUUUCUCUUAUUUUUAUUCCAGAAGAACAUUUGUCUAAGUUAAUUUGUAACUUUGCCUUUCUUUCUGUGCUGGUUCCUUGUUUCUGUGUCAUCCAAUCAAGCAAGUGCAGUCUGACACACCUCCUUUUGCUGCAGCUCAUACAGGUUUGAUUUCCAGUAUUAAAGCACCUCAGCUACUGUGUGUGGAUUUUCUCUGUAUUCAGACACCUUCUCCUUGUUGCUGACAAGCAAUCUAGGAUCAACUUAUUUCCAGUUUUCUGACGUUUCUACUUUGUACUCCAGAUCCUCACAAUGAAUCAUUACAUAUUUCCAAGCCAAAAUGGAUCCUGUAGACCUCACAAACCACGUACAUAACCUGAACCAAAGAGUGGACCUAUUAACUCAAGGUUUAAGAGAACUCCAGGUUGAAAAUGAGACAUUAAAGGCUAUCCUUAAAGACACAGUCACAAGAGCACAUUCUACAGGACAAACACCAGAACCUAUGUAUCCUCUAGUUCUCCAUCUCCAAGACCUUCAGAAGAACCUAUGGACGUAGGUUUUGUCAGAGGACCUCUCAAAGCAGAGGAGAAAAUAAGAAGACGUAUGCAUAACAUGCCUCUACUGUGCAGCGAAAGACCACAAGUGGGAUCGCCAAGAGAUUCAUACUAAAGACAUCAUUGAUUCAGGAGCAUCCGGCCUUUUCAGUGAUUCUAGUAUUGUAGAAAAAAAUAAAAUUCCAAAAGUUCAAAAAGCAAA